CGCUCUUUGCGUUCUUUUUCUUCACGCUUUUCCUUCUCUUCUUCUUCAAGAAGUUUCACCUGCAGAAAAAUUCACAAAGGAUGUGUUGGUCGCGAGAGGGGGAUUUUAAUGAUAUGGUGAGGUCUUGGACAAAGAGGAACAUGUUCAUGUGAAGAGACAUCAAACUUCUUCGGUAAGUUCAAGAGAAAACAUAUUGCAAACAAAUUCCAACCAAAGUAACUUUUAAAUCAAGCUUCACUACCUUACUUGACUUGUUUUAUUCUAACAUCCUUAUUUUUCUUAUAUUACAAUGUAUUUAUUUAUUAUACUAAACGACCAUUUGACACAUGCCUAACAAGUGUCAGAGUCCUUUGGGGCAUGAUCCUAGGAGCUUUACACUCUAGACCUAGGCAUUGGUAAGGUUCGAAAUAGGCUUUCAUCCUAGAGAAAGAGCUUUUUUACGAAGGGUGGAGGCCUUACCCUUUUACAAUCGGUUCUGAGUGACAUUCCUAUUCAUCUAUUGCCCCUGGUUAAAAUCCCUAGUGUGAUUAGUAAGACCAUUGAGAAAUUGAUGAGGGAUUUCCUCUAAGAGAAUGUUGGGGAGGGAAGAUGAUCUCAUCUUGUGAGGUGGAAAGACGCCACUGGACCUAGGUGGCUUAGGUUUGAGAAAUCUAAGGGCAAGG